CCAGGAGAACCGGCGCCAGGUCUGUUCCCAGGCCUGAGUCAGUGGCAGACUCUGGCCUAUGCCUGGAGAUACUGAAGGCCAGGACCUGGGCUGGGAGAGAGACCGAAUGGCUCCCUGGGCUCCUUCCUGAGACUGUUCCAACAUCUUAGCACGAUGUCCAGAAUGGAUGGCAAAAUUCCUAACGACAUCUGACCAGGACAUUGCAGAGUGGAAGACCAUCUCCUCAUAGACUCUCUACUUCUAUUAUUACAGCCUGAGAUCCAAGCAGCAUUACAGGAGACCUCACAACACAAUUGCAGAUUCUGUUGACACCAACUGCUAAACCUUUUCACAUGAGCUGCUUAAGCCAUGUCCUUUCUUGUAGUCGUGCUAUUAGCUAGACCAUGAGAGCCCCUGUCACUCAGCUCCUGACGUCCACAUGUUCUUCACUGGCCAUCUAACAUGACCUUGUUGAGAAAAAUGUCAUUAACUGCUCCGAUCUGCCCUCAGUAGACCCAUGCUGGAUCCAAGAGGUCCUGGAGUCUUUUUCUAGGUGCUCCUAAACAAGAUUUUCAAUAAUUUGGUGAAUUGGGGCUGUGUUUUCAUGUCGAGCUCACAGAUUUAUAGUGUAUAGAAUCUGCCUUUUGG
rnacentral:lncRNA from 1 species